rnacentral:rRNA from 1 species
AACGAACGCUGGCGGCAUGCCUAACACAUGCAAGUCGAACGAACCCUUCGGGGUUAGUGGCGCACGGGUGCGUAACGCGUGGGAAUCUGCCCUUUGCUUCGGAAUAACAGUUAGAAAUGACUGCUAAUACUGGAUGAUGUCUUCGGACCAAAGAUUUAUCGGCAAGGGAUGAGCCCGAGUAGGAUUAGGUAGUUGGUGGGGUAAGGGCCCACCAAGCCGACGAUCCUUAGCUGGUCUGAGAGGAUGAUCAGCCACACUGGGACUGAGACACGGCCCAGACUCCUACGGGAGGCAGCAGUGGGGAAUAUUGGACAAUGGGCGCAAGCCUGAUCCAGCAAUGCCGCGUGAGUGAUGAAGGCCUUCGGGUCGUAAAGCUCUUUUACCAGGGAUGAUAAUGACAGUACCUGGAGAAUAAGCUCCGGCUAACUCCGUGCCAGCCGCCGCAGUAAGAC